CCCUGGACCACAGUGGCCACUCCAGAACUCAAGCAGAAGUUCAAGAACGUUUGGAGACGCUGCAGUUUGCAAAAGUUGUUCUUAGCAAAAACCAGUGAAUGUGUUCAAUCCUAUUAAUUAUUUCUUCUGACUCACGCUGAUCAUCAUUUUAUGUAACAGUUAAUGUGUUUAUUUGGGCUGCACUGUACAGACUCAGGAGAUGUGAUGUGAACAACACUGUAAUUACAUUGAUGAAUGAUAUAUCCCUUGGUGUUAUAAACUAUAGCUGUAAACAUGACAACCGUUUUCGUUUAUUUCAAAGAUAAAUGCAGGCACGACUCUAGAUUGAGCGCAGUAUAAUUUCUUGCGGAUUAGUUUUUAAAUGACGCAGCAGUUGGCAAAUAUAAAUUAUAAAAUAGAAUAUAAAUAAUUGAAAGACAACUUUUUAAACAACACCAGAAAAGAACAAACGAAUACAACAGGAGUUCUGAAUUUAAUCUUCGGUUUCCCAUCCUGCAUAGCCCACAGCAAAUAACUUGCAUCGUUGUAGGAAGCGUGAUUAAUAACACAGCUGAAGAGGACGAACAUGCUGUAGAGCUCUUGCGAUCUCAGACCCCUAUGUUUUUUAGUUUACGUUUUUUUCAUCUAUUUUAAUGUUCCCGGACUUCGUUUUCAAACUGCCAGGUGGAGAGUCGUGAGAGGGCCUGUGGAUGUAGCUCUGACUGCAGCAGGGAAUUUUCUGCUUGUAUGUCAGCCCGAGCUGAUUAACAGGUAAAAUUCAGAGAAGAUGACGGAAAUAGCCGAUUUUUGUACCCACCUGGAUUCUAUAGGGGAAGUCACCAAGGAGGAUUUAUUACGCAAAUCCAAGGGAACAUGCCAGUCGUGUGGGGCUGCUGGACCAAACCUCUGGGCUUGUCUGCAGAGUGGAUGUCCCUAUGUAGGCUGCGGAGAGUCUUAUGCUGAUCACAGCACUUUCCACGCACAGGCUAAAAAGCACAACCUGACGGUGAAUCUGACCACAUUCCGGGUCUGGUGUUACAUCUGUGAGCGGGAGGUGUUCCUGGAGCAGCAACCAGCUGUGCCCACCCCGAGUGGUCAUCACUGCAAGCCACUGGAGCAGGGCCCUGUAUCCCAGACUGCCAGCCGGCCUCUAAAGGCUGUUCCAAUUACUGUUGCAGACGAGGGGGAAUCAGAGUCAGAAGGGGAUGAAUUUAAACCAAGAGGUCUCACUGGAAUGAAGAACAUUGGGAACUCCUGUUACAUGAAUGCUGCUUUGCAAGCUCUCUCGAACUGCCCGCCUCUGACUCAGUUUUUCCUGGAGUGCGGAGGACUGGUCCGCACAGAUAAGAAGCCGGCGCUUUGCAAGAGUUACCAGAAACUGAUUUCUGAACUCUGGCACAAGAAACGUCCCAGUUACGUAGUUCCUACCAGUCUGUCCCAUGGAAUCAAGCUGGUUAACCCCAUGUUCAGAGGCUACGCGCAGCAGGUAGGGAGAACUGCGCAGCAGGACACGCAGGAGUUCCUGCGCUGCUUGAUGGAUCAGCUGCACGAGGAGCUGAAGGAGCCCGAGUGCGGGGCGGAGUCUGACAGGGAGGAGCGGCGUGACGGGGACCGCAGCCCCUCCGAGGACGAGUUCCUGUCCUGUGACUCGGGCGCCAGCAGCGACCGGGGGGAGGGGGGCGAGGGGAUACUGAUCCAGGACGAGAGUGGGGGGAUCCGCGGGGGGAUCUCGGAGAAGGAGCGGCUGAAGGAGAGGAGGGUCUCGGGGUCUCCACGGAGAGGUGGCUCCCAGGAGAUGGACGAGGAUGCAGACAUAGACACCGCCGCGGAGGAGGGAGGGGCCACAAGGGCUGGGGACAGUGAGGAUCCACCUCCAAACAGCGUCAGCAAACAGAACCACAGAGCAGUUUCAGAACCUGACAAUGACGCAUUGCUGCACAGCCUCUCGCGCUCCUGCAGUCCCAGCCACGGCCACCAGGAGGCCCACCCCAAACUGUCCAGCAGCCCGCCUCGCUCCAGCCCCCUGCGCAUCGCGGGCACAGCAUACUCGCUCAAGAAAGCUCAGCUCCUCCUGGGUGCCAAGAAGAAGCAGCAGCCCCGGUACCGCAGCGUUAUCUCGGACAUCUUUGACGGCUCCAUCCUCAGCCUGGUCCAGUGUCUCACCUGCGACAGGGUGGGUACGGAGGUUUCAACCACUGUGGAGACUUUCCAGGACUUGUCUCUGCCGAUCCCGGGAAAGGAGGAUCUUGCCAAACUACACUCCUCCAUCCACCAAAGCAUUCCUGCCAAAAACGAGACCUACGGCUCCCAGGGCUGGAUCUCCUACAUCAUGGACUAUAUCCGCAGGCUCGUGUCCUGUAUCCCCAGCUGGUUUUGGGGUCCAGUUGUCACUCUGGAGGACUGCCUGGCUGCCUUCUUUGCUGCGGAUGAGCUGAAAGGUGAUAAUAUGUACAGCUGUGAAAGAUGUAAAAAAUUAAGAAAUGGUGUUAAAUACUGCAAGGUUCUCCGUCUGCCUGAAAUCCUUUGUAUUCAUCUCAAGCGCUUUCGCCAUGAGGUCAUGUACUCCUUCAAAAUCAACAGCCAUGUCUCCUUCCCAUUGGAGGGGCUUGAACUCCGACCUUUCCUAGCCAAGGAGAGCCCUUCCCAGAUCACAACUUACGACCUGCUCUCUGUGAUCUGUCACCACGGGACCGCGGGAAGUGGUCACUACAUUGCAUACUGCCAGAAUGUAAUAAACGGUCAGUGGUACGAGUUUGAUGACCAGUAUGUCACGGAGGUUCACGAGACAGUGGUGCAGAGUGCCGAGGCCUACGUCCUGUUUUACAGGAAGAGCAGCGAGGAGUCUGUGCAGGAGAGGCAGAAGGUGGUAGCCCUGGCUAACAUGAAGGAGCCCAGCCUGCUGCAGUUCUACAUCUCCAGGGAGUGGCUUAACAAGUUCAACACCUUCACGGAGCCCGGUCCCAUCGCCAACCACACCUUCCUCUGCACGCACGGAGGGAUCCCACCCAACAAGUAUCACUACAUCGAUGACUUGGUGGUGAUCUUGCCCCAGAGCGUGUGGGAGUAUCUCUAUAACAGUUUUGGUGGAGGUCCUGCUGUAAACCACCUCUAUGUGUGCUCCAUCUGUCAGGUGGAAAUCGAGGCCCUGGCCAAGCGCAGGAAGCUGGAGAUCGAUACCUUCAUCAAGCUGAACAAGGCUUUCCAGGCAGAGGAGUCCCCCAGUGUCAUCUACUGUAUUGGCAUGCAGUGGUUCAGAGAGUGGGAGAGCUUUGUCAAGGGCAAGGACAAUGAGCCACCCGGCCCCAUUGACAACAGCAGAAUUGCAGUGAUGAAAGGAGGCCAUGUCCAGCUCAAGCAAGGAGCUGACUACGGUCAGAUCUCCGAGGAGACGUGGAAUUACCUGUUUUCCAUCUAUGGAGGCGGUCCUGAGAUUGCGGUGCGGCAGAGCGUCUCUCAGCCCGACACGGAGAGCCUUCACGGAGAGCACAAGAUUGAAGCGGAGACGAGGGCCUUGUGAAGCCCAAAGAGCUGCCAAAAAAAAAAAGAUCCACAAUGAGGGGUCUCGCUUUAUCCCGAAAGAAACUAGUGACACUGACUCUGUACCCUCACAAACCUGCUGACCAUUGAGGUAGCAGUGACACUAAUUGGAUACACCGUCAUGGGCAGACUGCAAAAUCCAGACCGGGCCUCGGCCUAAACCAACACGACAUCCGGACAACACAAGUAUCCUAUAAGACUUGAAUCUGCCAAGACUGCGUCUAAUCAGAUAUUGGUUUCACCAAAUUAUCUGUGAUUAUCUAGUAGGAUGUUUGCUUAUAUCUGGAUUUUACCAUUUUGUUGAUAUCUUAUAGGACAAUGCAAUAGAUUUCUAGAUAUAAUGAAUAGGACAUUGGGUUAAGUCUUAGAGGACUUGCCUGAGAACUGGCUUUUGAGUUCAAUCUCAAAGAUUUUUUGCUAUAAACUGCUGGAUAUUUGCCUCAAUCUGAAACCACAUUUUUGGGGGGUUUCACAUCAUUCAGGACUUAAACUGGCAGGACUUAGCUGGUCAACUUUACCAGCCCCUUGCUGCAUGUAAAAUAUAUUUAUAUUCAUUGAGCACAGCCCACAGAAGUUUGUGAUCUGGGUGAAAUGUUAAAGCGAUGGAGAAAAUGAAGGAUCUUCUGGACUGACCAAGUCAAGUUGGCUAUUGACUGUCUGAAGACGGUGCAAUUCAGUGGACCACUUUGAAGAACUCAUUUCAAAUGCAUGGUUAAGGAAUGAGUUGAGAUCUGGAAUACAUAAUUAUAAUGUUUUGAAUUUGCUUUUUAAAAGCUGCUCUCCCCUUUCUUGAAGGCUUGUAUUGCUAAACAGGAGCCAAGAGCAUUUUGUUCAACAAAGAAGACUGAACUAGGUCCUCUGACUGAACUUGUAGAAGCGAGAUCAAACUAUUUAUGUGCAUUCCCUUCAUGCUUUCUGCUUACCCCAGCCCCCCCCCCCCCCACCCUGCCCGAGGGAAAUAAAAAACCUCAUAGUCUGACAAAUUAACAGACUGAUACUUGUCAAUGGUGUGUGUCUUCCAAUUACUGGAAGUGAUUGCAUCUACUAUAAGGAUGUUCGACUCGUAAUCCGUCUAUAGGGGAGACGUCCAGAGUAUUUUUCUCACUGAAAGAGCCGGUUCCAGAAUCGCAAUGGGAUGUGUGAUGUGCUCGCCGCUGUUAGAGAUGUGGAAUGUGUCCACCAAGCAGCCAGGAAUUAACUGCCUGGAGCUGUCUAUAUUUCCUGAGUCCUGUGUCCAUGGUUACCAAAGAGUGUCUGGACUCCAUUACGUGUCUUCUUUCUCGGAUGCUGAGGACUGUUGUGAUAAUGUCAGCCACAACAGCCCCUCUUUGACGGACGCCUCAGAUACUGAGGAGUAAAUCAAAAGGACGUUGUUUUCAUUCUUAUGAUGAGGGCAGUUGUCUGAGUCUGCUUCUGUUGUAAUAUUGGUGGCACGUGUCUUUUCUCCAACAGUAUAACAUGAUAUUCCCAUUUCAGUCUUCUGUACACAUCUUCUGUUCAGUGGAAAAAAAAAUAAAGACCUGCCAUAACACUGUCAAUGGGAUGUAGACACUACAGGACGGCACUAGCGUGUAAACACUCCUGCAAGGUGUUUAAAUUGUUCUGCAAAGAUAUGCGACAUUCCUCAGUGUUUGAUGCCGUUAGGAAAGUUGGCUUGUAAUCAGCAAUCGUAUCCUUUACGCAAAAUGCUACAUGGGUUUUUGAAACUGUUACAAAAUGGGUGUUUUUAUGUUUUGUCCAGCUUCAUUAUAUUGUGUAGAAUCACUAACCCUUCUUGGUGCAGCAGUGUAAAAAUGAUGCCUCCCAUUACCCAGAUAAUGUCAUUGUCUCUCUGCAGUGUUUGAUCUAGGGUUUGCUGAUGUGAUCCUCCAAAGAAUAAUGAACAUGGUCUUGAACAUCAAUUGUGAGCACUAAAAGCAGAGCCCACUUAUCUUUGGUAGUCUUCAGACCAUUAAAUAGCCUAGUUCCUAUAACAGACUUGUUAGUCUGGUAAUUCUAUUAUUUAACCUCCAUUACUCUAGAUAGCCCCAAGAUAGGUGAAACACUCAAACCAAAUCUACCCAAGGAGAGACUGUCUUGUUGAAACCACAGGUUGGGCAGUCUAAGAUCUAUUUUCUGCACAGAAGUAUCUCAAUACUGUAACACGCUUCCUCCCCUGUCAGACUAAAGCAUGCUUUUGACAAAUGGCAUCCUAUCGCUGCUUGUCAGCAUAACACCCUUUGAUCCAGAGUCUGAAGGAGGAAUGUACCAGAUUUUUGUGCUGCUGUGUUCGCAGUGUAAGUGGAAACUUGCUUUAGAGGGAGCAUUGUUCUUUGUGUUGCAUGAGCGCACAGUGUAGAGAGACCAAAGUUACCCAGCACCCUCUUCAGGGUAGCAUAGAAGCUUGUAGGCUGGGCCAUGUGAGAGGAGGCAUGUCAAUUGACUCUGUGUGUACACUACAGACUACAAGGUACAAAGGGUAAUAAUUCCAUCAAGUUUUAGUAUUGAACUGCAAGUGAAUUGCAAGGCCGCAAGCACUGAAGCUGUCUCUGGACAUUUUGUAUGCAUUUUCAUAUUCUGGUUUUUUUUUUGUUUUGUUUUUUUUUGUCUGAUUUUGUUUCCGUGAUUUCUCUUUUGUCAUUUACCAACAGGAAGAAAUAAAAUAACACUUGAUUGCAUUUUGGUAGAAUAUCGUUUUGUGACAGAAUAUAGCAAAUCCAAUUAGCCUGCCACAGAUCGACCACAGAAGGGCUUGUGGAAAUGAUGUUCUGCUAAUUUGAGGUGAGAAAAUGUUUUGUUAAAAGCCUUUUUUGCACAAAAAUGGCUCUGUUUUAAUCAAUGAAUCCAGAGAAGUUGUAUAGUUGGUGACUUCAUCACACCCUUUUAAUGAAUGAAGCACCUACUGCACGUGCUGGCAGCAGGUUUACUUGGACGUUUUUCUACAAGGACUGAAUGUCAUUAUUCUAGGAGUGGUUGUAAUUGCUCAUUCAACAUAUCUUACCAAAGUGAGUGAUUCUGAGUAACCUCUACCCUGGUCAGACCACCUGUUUUCUCUCCAUGGUUUCAAAUGCUUUUCUUUAAUGAGUGGGACUCACUGUGCAAACCUGAACUUGAAUAUAAACCUUGACACAUUCCAUUCCAUUUGAUACAUAUACUGUAUCAGUAAUUUAAAUCCGAUUGAAUUACAAAAAAAUUAUCCUUUGCUAUCUCAAAGCAGCUGUUUCUUCAAACGCUAACAUGCACUAGAUUCGUUUUAGCAGUCCCUUUUGGGUAGGGCUGUGCUUUGGUAUGUUAUCACUUCUUAAAUAACUUUUCAUUAUAACUUUAGUAUAAAAUAUGAGGCUAUUUAUAGUUAUCUGAAUAUGCACGUCAUUGAGGUGGGGGAAAGUUUCCUUUACUCAUUAUACCUUUAAAUACUAGCUUGCAUGCCUCUUGGAAGCAGUGUAUUAUUAGUCACAGGGCUUUGUAAAACAACUGAAAGUAAUUAAAAACAGCUUCACAUCACUCCACAAGGCAAUCAAUAUUCUAACUCAGAUAUGUAGAAAACGCCCACGGAGCAUUAGAAAUAUGAUUGUACCUAUUCAUAAAGGACUGCUAACCAAGCUCUGUCUUUCUACUAAUAUUUUAAAUGUGAUCCUUUUUAAAUAUUGCUCAAUACUUUAUUUGUGUAAAUUUGGCAUCCAACAUGUGAAAUCCCUUUUUUCUAUGCUUUAAUACACAGCCCAAAGCAAGAUUAAUGGGCAUGCAUCCUUAGAAAUGCUGCGUAACAGAUUGUUAUAAUAAUAUCCAUUUCUUACAUUCCUUGCUUUAAAACGCUUGUUUUAUGUUGACGUGAGCAGACCAUAAUAGCUAUCGGCUCAUUAAGUUUUUUCCAAGCAGAAUCGCCAGAGCCGACAUCAAAGCUGAAAAGCUUUUAUUGAUGUUUUUCCCCCAAAGCGUAGGCCUGGUGAGUAAAUUGGGUAGGUGUAAAAAGGACGUCUUGCAACAUCAGUUAAAUACAUCCUGUGACUCCUUGUUUUACACACAAAAAAAAAAAAAACACACCAGUAAAGCUAAACAAAACUCAAACAGGUUAGGUGGACGCUCUGAGGUUUUUAGUUUUGAUAGAUAGGGGUUGUAAAUAGUUUAUGAAAACAUUAAGUACAAAACUAUGAGGGGGCAGCUACAUGUGGGCAGUGUAUGCUGCUAGAAUGUUCUGUUGCCUGAGAAAGGGGCAAUUAAAUGAGCAGAACUGACCUCCCUAACCUGUUGGAAGUAAAGUCCCUUUCACACUGGCGCUCCUUCUCCGGUCCUGAAUUUACCCGGGUCAAAAUCCUGUGUAGUGUAAAACCACGUAACAGAUUGCUGCAGGGAUGGCGUGGAGCGAUGAAGAAGCAUUUGCUCUAAUCAACGUUUGGGCCGAUGAUUCAAUCCAGAGGAGUUUGGAUGGAAUCAUUCAUAACAAGCACGCCAUCUUGAAAGCCUGAACCGAUGAAAGGGUGGUCAUGUGAACGCCCGAUGCUUCUUCCACAAACUGGUAACUGAUAUCAUUGCUUGAUUUCUGUUAAUAACUAGUGGCCUUGUUGUGUCUAAUGAUAAUGAUUAAGCUGUAAAAGUGUGACUUUUGAUUAUUGGAAUCAAUAAAGGAAAGUUAUAAAAUUAUGCCU